GACGAACCGUGCGAACGUUGUUCGGAAUCACUGGGCUUAAAGGGCGCGUAGGCGGGCCGGCAAGUCAGGGGUGAAAUCCCACGGCUCAACCGUGGAAGUGCCUUUGAUACUGCCGGUCUUGAGGGAGGUAGGGGCGUGCGGAACUUCCGGUGGAGCGGUGAAAUGCGUAGAUAUCGGAAGGAACACCGGUGGCGAAAGCGGCGCGCUGGACCUCCACUGACGCUGAGGAGCGAAAGCGUGGGGAGCGAACAGG
rnacentral:rRNA from 1 species